rnacentral:tRNA from 2 species
GGAGCGGUAGUUCAGUUGGUUAGAAUACCUGCCUGUCACGCAGGUGGUCGCGGGUUCGAGUCCCGUCCGUUCCGCCA